rnacentral:rRNA from 1 species
CCUACGGGAGGCAGCAGUGGGGAAUAUUGGGCAAUGGACGCCAGUCUGACCCAGCAACGCCGCGUGAAGGAAGAAGGCUCUCGGGUUGUAAACUUCCUUUAAGGGGGAAGAGCAGAAGACGAUACCCCUUGAAUAAGCCACGGCUAAAUACGUGCCAGCAGCCGCGGUAAUACGGAGGUGGCAAGCGAUUUUCGGAUUUACUGGGUGUAAAGGGCGUGCAGCCGGAGAGACAAGUCAGAUGUGAAAUCCACGGGGCCAACCCGUGAACUGCAGUUGAAACUGUUUCCCUUGAGUGUCGGAGAGGUAGUCGGAAUGCGUUGUGUAGCGGUGAAAUGCGUAGAUAUAACGAAGAACACCAGUGGCGAAGGCAGAUUACUGGACGAUAACUGACGGUGAGGCACGAAAGCGUGGGGAGCGAACAGGAUUAGAUACCCGUGUAGUC